AAGACUAUAUUUUCAGGGAUCAUUUCUAUAGUUUGUGAUUAGAGAAGUGUGGUUGAAAGUGUCUGAUCUUGCUACUCAUGAGGAUGAGUUAAAGUGUUCUUUUCUCAACAUGAAGUGAAUAGACAAUGUUAUUUUAAUGCACCUGCUGUCUGUUAUUGAUGACCGUUCUUGCUUUCCUUUUGGGAAGCUGAGAGAAAAAGAGCACGAACUGAGUGGU